GGUAAAAUGGCUGAGAAUAGGCAAUAAAUUGUAAAUUUAUUUACGAACAGAUGGGUUCUUUUAUCA
rnacentral:tRNA from 1 species